rnacentral:rRNA from 1 species
UACGUAGGGGGCUAGCGUUGUCCGGAAUCAUUGGGCGUAAAGAGCGUGUAGGCGGCCCGGUAAGUCCGCUGUGAAAGUCGGGGGCUCAACCCUCGAAUGCCGGUGGAUACUGUCGUGCUAGAGUGCGGAAGGGGCUACUGGAAUUCUCGGUGUAGCGGUGAAAUGCGUAGAUAUCGAGAGGAACACCUGCGGCGAAGGCGGGUAGCUGGGCCGACACUGACGCUGAGGCGCGAAAGCCAGGGGGAGCGAACGGG